rnacentral:rRNA from 1 species
AAUGAACGCUGGCGGCAUGCCUAACACAUGCAAGUCGAGCGAGACCUUCGGGCCUAGUGGCGCAUGGGUGCGUAACGCGUGGGGAAAUGCCCUUAGGUUUGGAAUAACUCCCCGAAAGGGGUGCUAAUACCGGAUAAUGUCUUCGGACCAAAGAUUUAUUGCCAUUGGUGGGUCCCUCGUUGGAUUAGGUUGUUAGUAGGCUAAAAGCCUACCAAGGGGACGAUCCAUAACUGGUUAGAGAGGAUGGUCAGCCACACUGAGACUGAGACACGGCCGAGAAUCCUACGGGAGGCAGCAGUGGGGAAUAUUGGAACGUGGGGUAAGGCCUGAUGCUGUACUGCUGCGUAAGUGAUGAAGGCCUGGGGGUUGUAAAGUUCUUUUACCCGGGAUGAUAAUGACAGUACCGAGAGAAUAAGCCCCGGCUAACUCCGUG